rnacentral:rRNA from 1 species
UGAACGCUGGCGGCGUGCCUAACACAUGCAAGUCGGAUGUGCCCGCAAGGGUGCAUGGCAGACGGGUGAGUAACGCGUGGGGAAUCUACCUCUUUGUGGGGAAUAACGUUCCGAAAGGAAUGGUAAUACCGCAUGAGACCAUGAGCUGGGACGCUCAUGGUGAAACCUGGGGACCGCAAGGCCUGGGGCAAGGAGAGGAUCCUGCGUCUGAUUAGCUAGUUGGUGGGGUAACGGCCUACCAAGGCAACGAUCAGUAGCCGGCCUGAGAGGGUGAUCGGCCACACUGGAACUGAGACACGGUCCAGACUCCUACGGGAGGCAGCAGUGGGGAAUUUUGCGCAAUGGGCGAAAGCCUGACGCAGCAACGCCGCGUGGGUGAUGAAGGUCUUCGGAUCGUAAAACCCUGUCGUCAGGGACGGAAGGUCGGGGGUGAACAGCCCUUUGGCUUGACGGUACCUGGAGAGGAAGCCCCGGCUAACUCUGUGCCAGCAGUAGCGGUAA